CCCAAGAGAUCGGGAUAACACCUGGAAACAGAUGCUAAUACCGGAUAACAACAGAUGAUGCCUAUCAACUGUUUAAAAGAUGGUUCUGCUAUCACUCUUGGAUGGACCUGCGGUGCAUUAGCUAGUUGGUAGGGUAACGGCCUACCAAGGCGAUGAUGCAUAGCCGAGUUGAGAGAACUGAUCGGCCACAUUGGGACUGAGACACGGCCCAAACUCCUACGGGAGGCAGCAGGA
rnacentral:rRNA from 1 species